rfam:Schistosoma mattheei strain Denwood, Zambia genome assembly, scaffold: SMTD_scaffold0002230
AGCCUUCUGUAUCCGUGUUGUGAUUGCAUCAAAUACCAGACUACAAAGGAUGAUGAAACACUUAAGAUGAUUGAAGUG